GCUAGAUGUGGUGGUGCAUGCCUAUAGUCCCAGCUACUCAGGAGGCUGAGCAGGGAGGAUCGCUUGAGGCCAGGAAUUCUGGGCUAAAGUGUGCUAUGCCAAUCGGAUGUCCGCACUAAAUUCAGCAUCAAUAUGGUAAUCUCCCAGGAGCAGAGGACCACCAGGUUGCCUAAGGAGGGGUGAAUCGGACCAGGUCAGAAACAGAGCCGGUCAAAACUCCCAUGCUGAUCAGUAGUGGGAUAGUGUCGGUGAAUAGCCACUGCACUCCAGCCUGGGCAACAUAGCAAGACCCUGUCUCUA
ensembl:misc_RNA Metazoa_SRP Metazoan signal recognition particle RNA